CUGCCCUCGGGCUUGGACCUGAAGAAAUUUGCGAUUACAUCUCUCAGAAGGAAUUCACCUGAUUCGCAACUCUACAGUGCACACUGUGAAUCAUCAACUCCAGUAGACAAAAGCUUUUCAGGACAGUCGUCAUGGCAAGUGCCUUAGCAGCAAAAAUUGGUCUCAAUUCACUGAGAAAAAGGCAAGCCAAAAACUUCAACGUCAGGAUCAGCACAAUGGAAUCAGAGUUGGAGUUCAGUUGUGAGGUCAAAUGGAAAGGAAAAGACCUAUUUGACUUGGUGUGUCGGACUCUGGGACUGAGGGAGACAUGGUUCUUUGGGCUUCGGUAUGACAUCAAGGACACAGUAGCUUGGCUGAAGAUGGACAAGAAGGUUUUAGAUCAGGAGGUACCCAAGGAGGAGCCGAUCACCCUUCACUUCUUGGCGAAGUUCUACCCUGAAAAUGCUGAGGAGGAGUUAGUUCAAGACAUCACUCAGCAUCUCUUCUUCCUACAGGUGAAGAAGAAGAUUUUGGAAGAAGACAUCCAUUGUCCACCUGAGGCCUCUGUACUGCUGGCCUCUUAUGCGGUCCAUGCUAAGUAUGGCGACUAUGACUCUAAUGUUCACAAGCCUGGCUUCCUGGCUCAAGAGGAGCUGCUGCCCAAGAGGGUGAUUAAUUUGUACCAGAUGACUGUGGAGAUGUGGGAGGAGAGGAUUACUGCCUGUUACGCCGAACACCGGGGUAGGACGAGGGAUGAAGCAGAGAUGGAGUACCUAAAAAUAGCUCAGGACCUGGACAUGUAUGGUGUCAAUUACUUUUUCAUCAGGAAUAAAAAGGGAACAGAUCUUCUUCUGGGAGUGGAUGCCCUGGGCUUGCACAUCUACGAGCCAGAAAACAAGCUAACACCCAAGUGCUCCUUCCCCUGGAACGAGAUCCGCAACAUCUCUUACAGCGACAAGGAGUUCACUAUCAAACCUGUUGACAAGAAAACUGACGUUUUUAAGUUCAACUCCUCCAGGCUGAGGGUCAACAAGCUGAUCCUGCAGCUUUGCAUAGGGAACCAUGACCUGUUCAUGCGUCGGCGGCGUGUGGACACUCUGGAGGUGCAGCAGAUGAAGGCCCAGGCCAGAGAGGAGAGAGCCAGGAAACAGGUGGAGAGGCAGCGUUUGGAGCGGGAGAAGCAGAGAAGGGAGGAGGCGGAGAGGGCCAGAGAUGAGCUGGAGAGGAGGCUAAUUCAGCUGCAGGACGAGGCCCACAUGGCCAAUGAAGCCCUGCUGCGUUCGGAGCAGACGGCGGACCUGCUGGCAGAGAAGGCCCAGAUCGCGGAGGAGGAGGCCAAGCUGCUGGCCCAGAAAGCCGCCGAGGCUGAGACGGAGAUGCAGCGCAUCAAGGUAACGGCCAUCCGUGGCCAGGAGGAGCGUCGGCUCAUGGAGCAGAAGAUGCUGGAGGCAGAGAUGCUGGCCCUCAAGAUGGCCGAGGAGUCGGAGAGGAGGGCGAAGGAAGCGGAGCAGCUGAAGCAAGACUUGCAGGAAGCCAGGGAGUCGGAGCGUAGAGCCAAGCACAAGCUGCUGGAGAUCACCAGCAAGCCUGUCUAUCCGCCACCUGCACUUCCAGCCGACCUGAGCUUCAGCAGGGAGAACCUCAGCUUCGACUUCAAGGACACAGAUAUGAAGCGUCUCUCCAUGGAGAUCGAGAAGGAGAAGGUCGAAUACAUGGAGAAGAGCAAACACCUGCAGGAGCAGCUGAAUGAGCUGAAGACGGAGAUCGAGAGUUUGAAGCUAAAAGAGAGGGAGACGCCCCUGGACAUCCUCCACAACCAGAACACGGAGCAGGGCACUAGCAAACACAGCAACUUCAAAAAGCUGACGCUACAGAGCACCAAGUCCAGAGUGGCCUUCUUCGAGGAACUUUAAAACCACCUGGAUAGAUAGGGGCGCCGACCCCAAAAACCUCUUGUCUUAACAUUCCCGUUGCACUUGGCCAAUUACCCCACUCUUCCGAGCCAUCCCAGUCGCUGCUCCACCACCUCUUCCGAUCCGGGGAGAGCUGCAGACUACCACAUGCCUCCUUCCAUACAUGUGGAGUCGCCAGCCGCUUCUUUUCACCUGACAGUGAGGAGUUUCGCCAGGGGGACACAGCGCAUGGGGGGAUCACGCUAUUCCCCCCAGUUCCCCCUCCUCCCCGAACAGGUGCCCCGACCAACAAGAGGAGGCGCUAGUGCAGCGACCAGGACACCAACCCACAUCCGCCUUCCCACCAGCAGACACGGCCAAUUGUGUUUGGAGGGACGCCCAACCAAGCCGGAGGUAACGCGGGGAUUCGAACCUCACUCUGCAUGUAAAAGAGGGAAUGAUUGUUUGGGCAAAUUGAGAGAUAUUUGUAUUUAAAAGAAAGCAGAUAAGUGGGUUGCAGCACAAGAGCAGCUAACCUAAGAGAUUCUUAGGUUUGCCUAAAGUGGCGGGUGUGGAUUUUCACGGACUCGAGUUUCUUUGCACUGAAGGUGAUGAGCUGCAAAGUCCACAUGUUUCCUCACCAAGUCGACGAGGCCAGAGUUCAAGUGGCUGCUUCGGGUUCAGCUGGUGGCUAUAAAAUCACUUCCUUCGAGGGGCAAGGGUGUAGUGUUCUCUUUCAAAAUGGCCGUACAGGGUAACCUCAUCAAUGUUGAAUUCAUGAGCAGCUCUGAUAGUUGUCACCAUCACUGUCACAUACAAGCAUCCAGUUAAAGGGUCUUUAUCUGAAAAUCUUCAUUUAAUAUCCAUUUUUACUGCAGUCAGCCACCUUGUCCACACUAUACUUUGUCUGAUCAAUUCUACAACGGGCUAAGGUUUUUAUUUUGUUUUGUUUUAUUCAUCUACAUGUCCUCUUUUUUUUUUAUCUUCGACCCGCCAAACACUCUUUCUACUACCUUUUCAGAACAAAAUCAGUCCAGCGAAAAGUCAAAUCAUAAAAAAAGCAUAUAUCGCAUUUCGGCUACCUUUCUGCACUCGAGACUUGCUUUCUGGUGAACACACAGAGUUUUAUUCCAGAGGCUUCUGGACUUUUAAAGUUUACAUCAUGUAGCCCGAGACGUUGUGUUCUUCAUCUGCCUUGAACUGUCAGCGUGAAGAGGGUGUUUUUUUCUGAGCGAGGCGCCGAGUGGGCCUCCGUCUGCAGCGCUGCCCGCGAGGGUGAGGAGCUGACCUGUGAUCUUCUGGACGGGCUGCUUGUCUGAAGACCAAAUGAAGGAAGCGAUGUUGUACUGGAGCCUGCAACGUUAAUCUGCCGUACUGUGCAGAUUGGUUUUCUGCUCUCCCCUUUUUUUUCUUUUUUUUUUUUUAAUCAAAUGAGGGUGAUGUUUUUUUUUAUAUGAAGACAGCCACUUAUGGGAAACAUGAGUUUGCAUCUAUUUUGAAUUCAUCCGUCAGUUUGAAUUAAUGUGCUCUUUUUUCCCCCCGUGAAAGCAAUUUAUUUUGGAAUACUAAUGUGUGGAAUAUAUAUAUAUAUAUAUAUAUAUAUAUAUAUAUAUAUUUAAAUAUAAAUAAUUUUUCCCUGGUCUGCAUUGAAUGUGGAUAGUAAGCUGUAUUUUAUAUUUUAUUUUUAAUAAACUUUGGGGGACGUUACAUUUUUCUGAAACUGCGUUUUUACGAAAGCGAAGGCAAAACUGAAGUGUUUGUUUUUGUGUGUGUGUGUGUGUGUAAAAUAAAUGC